rnacentral:rRNA from 1 species
UAACGCGUGAGGAACCUGCCUUUCAGAGGGGGACAACAGUCGGAAACGGCUGCUAAUACCGCAUGACACAUUUGGGCGGCAUCGCCUGGAUGUCAAAGAUUUAUCGCUGAAAGAUGGCCUCGCGUCUGAUUAGCUGGUUGGCGGGGUAACGGCUCACCAAGACGAUGAUGGGUAGCCGGCCUGAGAGGGUGAACGGCCACAAGGGGACUGAGACACGGCCCUUACUCCUACGGGAGGCAGCAGUGGGGAAUAUUGGACAAUGGACCAAAAGUCUGAUCCAGCAAUUCUGUGUGCACGAUGAAGUUUUUCGGAAUGUAAAGUGCUUUCAGUUGGGAAGAAGAAAGUGACGGUACCAACAGAAGAAGCGACGGCUAAAUACGUGCCAGCAGCCGCGGUAAUACGUAUGUCGCAAGCGUUAUCCGGAUUUAUUGGGCGUAAAGCGCGUCUAGGCGGUUUGGUAAGUCUGAUGUGAAAAUGCGGGGCUCAACUCCGUAUUGCGUUGGAAACUGCCAAACUAGAGUACUGGAGAGGUAGGCGGAACUACAAGUGUAGAGGUGAAAUUCGUAGAUAUUUGUAGGAAUGCCGAUGGGGAAGCCAGCCUACUGGACAGAUACUGACGCUAAAGCGCGAAAGCGUGGGGAGCAAACAGG